ensembl:Mt_tRNA
UCUGAUGUGGCAGAACCCGGUCCUGCAAUAGUCCUAAGCACUUUCCCGUGGAGGUUCAAAUCCUCUCAUCAAAA